AUCUUUCAUUUCAAAAAGAAAAAGAAAGAAAAGAGUUUUAUCUGUUCAUUUGGUUGAUUCCAAUUCCCACACAAAAAUCCAAUUCCAUUAACAAACUCAAAAUCAUCAAGUUGUUCAAAAAAAAAAAAAAAACCAUUUCAGCUUUGACUUUAAGGAAUUGUUUUUCUUUUGUCAGCUGAAAAAAAUUGUAAAUUUCAAGCUUUGGGCGUUUUUGUUUUCAAUCAGAUCUGAUUAUGUUGAAGGUCAAAUCUUUGAUUUGAUACUUGGAAGAAAUAGGCGUUGGAAUUUGCAACAUAAUCAUCAACUUUUGGUUUUAAUUGUAAUGGAUUUGGAUGAUUUCAGAUCAGUUCUUGAAACUGCUGGUGUUGAUGUGUGGACUUUUAUAGAUACCGCAAUCCUGGUAGCUUCUUUGGAUUAUGGCCAAGAGUUUAAGCAAAGGAGAGAUGGGAUUGUGGAGAGGCUUUAUGCUACUUCCAUGGUUACCAGGUGUAAAAGCUGUGAUUUUGGUGAGAGAUCAAAUGUAUAUCAAGUUAAUAAAGAAGAUAGCCCCCAUGAAGGUAAAGAAGGAGGAAAAGGGUCUCCUUUUACGCCUCAUUCUGAUAAUGAAGAUGAUGAUAUGGACCCUUAUGGAGGCUUGUUUGAUGAUGAACAAAAAAGGGUUCUUGAGAUUAAGGAGCGUCUUGAACUACCUGAUCAGUCUGAGGAUUCUUUGGUUGAUUUACUUCAAAGCUUGGCAGACAUGGAUAUAACAUUUCAAGCUCUCAAGGAGACUGAUAUUGGGAGACAUGUUAACAAAUUGAGGAAACAUUCAUCAAAUGAUGUUAGGAGAUUAGUGAAGCAACUUGUCAGGAAGUGGAAAGAAAUUGUAGAUGAAUGGGUAAGGGUGAAUCAACCUGGAGAACCAGAACCUGCUGGACUUAUGGCAGCCGAUGGCGAUUCACCACAGCAAAAACUUCCUCAAAAUGGUCGUCAACAGGUUCCUGAUUUUGCAUACUCUCCUAAUCCCCACAAUGGGAGUUUUGGUUCGGAGAAGAAUAAUUCAGAACCUGAAAGGAAGCCAAAGCCAAUCCCUCCUUGCCGAAAAGAUCCUCCAUCAAGACAUACUCACUCAACUCCUCCACAAAAUGUACAGCUUCUUAUGCAGUAGUCCUAGUACUUGCUUUCCCCUAUGUCGCAAGCUUUUGCUCUCAGUGAUUUCAUUUUGUGGGACUUCUCACUCAAAGCUGAAUGCUUAGGAAAACAAGACUCCCUUCACCAGCAAACUCCAAACCAUAAUUCGCUCCAGGAGCAAAAAGAAAAUAACAAGAAGAAAAUAUCAAACUUACAUCCACCUCUCUCCACCUUUCUGUCUUCUCUAACAUGAUGUUUAGUUAACCAUUUUUCUUGUCAUUUUUGCUUGCAGGUGGUGUGGAUUAAAUGGCUAUAUGAAACUAUGUUUUGAGUCGAGCAAGAGAGUAAUAAGGCUCUCUUUAACUGGUAUUCAUCUUUAUGAAGUGAUCAAUUGCACUUUGGCCUUUAUGCUAUGACCAUAACCAACAAGAUGAAGUGGCCUUCAGCUUGUUAUGCGGGUUGGUGGAUGUAAUCAAUUGGACUUUGCAGUCAUCAUUAGUUUCUUGUUUCACUGUGGAGGCCCAACCGGUGACUUGUACUUGCUUAGAUGAGCUUAGCAUUGAAGAUUGUUGAACCUGAAAGAGCAUAUGAAAGAGCUUGGUCGAAUACGUGCAGUGCUUCGUUUUCGAUGUUUUAGGAAGCUAGAUGGCAUUCUACUUGGAUAAAAUUUCUAGAUAUCAUGGAAUUGUGUUGAACAAUAAGCAUUAGUGGGAAGCUCUGGGGAGAACCUUGGCUACAUGGUUUUCGUUAUGGAAUCAUCUUAGACACAUGUAUUCACAGUUCACACACCCGCAAAAGAUGUCGAACCUUGAAGACAAGGGGAUGCAUAUGCAGAUGCUGAACUAACUUGUUAGGCCCUAAGUUCCGUGGAUGUAGUACUUUGCUAUUAUGGUUUUGAUUGGAACUCCAGAAUUGCAUUUUAUAUGUAUUGGAGAGAAGAGGAGUGUAAACUUGAAACAUGCUAGAAAUUUGAUCUGGCAAUCAAUGUAAUAUGUUAUUUCUGUGUCAAAUAUUUAAAUAUAAAAAUACAUUGGAUUUCAGUAGUUAAA